GAUGUCGGAUACAUGUUGGAGCCUCGAUUCCCUCCCCUCGCGGUCUGCAUCCACCGCGCUUCGGCGACGGGACACUCCAUGGUUGCCCGUUUUUYGGGCUUCCCUGGGGACCUUCGCCGGGCAAGACGGAUGAGGAGGUGCACCACCGAUUCUAGGCAUCAGGACGUUGUGGCUAUCCUCAUUGGAAGGUCGCAUCAUCCCAAUGCCGGAAGAGGUGGUCGAGCUGUGACAACCGGCCUGAGAACGAAAAUUGUUGGAUACAGAAUCACGGUGUGCCCACCGUGUCAACCGGCGAGAAGCAGUCUGGCGGCCGAAAGGCUGCUGGUUCUUCCACGUCGUUGGCGUAUGGGUGCAAAAAUAUGGGAUAUAUAGUUGCCUGUUCUCGCGCUCUGUGGACUUUCGGUCGUCGUCCUCAUAGCAAACCCGUUGUGCUAAGCACGAUGGGAUGCUCGGGCGUCUUGACCGUUGUGGCUACGCUGGCGCAUGAGAUGUUGUGGACAUGUGGCUGCCUGGAGGCCCCCCGUCGUUGUGCGGCCGACUCCAGGUGCAGUGUCCUUUCAAUUGUAUGGGUUUCAAAACCUGUGUCGUUGACGAGUGCUUGCGUUCUGCUACCCGUUCUGCGGGAAGUAGAGCUUCGUACAACUUACCUUCGUCGCGUGCGCCCUUUGGGCGUGUCGCGUCGAUCACCUAGCGCUUGCGGUGUUGCCUCGCGGYGUCAGCCAUCUAGGUCGGCAUCGUCUAGGACAYCUCGCAAUCGCUCUUGGUCUCGGAUGAUGCUCACUGUAUAGGCUCGUGGCAUUUUGGUGCCUCGUUCCUCCCAAAAGUCCAGUCGGAAACGUGACAGUUGGCUCGGCUAUCGUCGUCGUUAGACCCCUCAUGGUCUAGCGCGGCUGUUAGUCGUUGCCAGCUCGUCCAUGAGGACGUGCU
rnacentral:misc_RNA from 1 species